GACGAACGCUGGCGGCGUGCUUAACACAUGCAAGUCGAACGGAAAGGCCCUGCUUUUGUGGGUUGCUCGAGUGGCGAACGGGUGAGUAACACGUGAGUAACCUGCCCUUGACUUUGGGAUAACUUCAGGAAACUGGGGCUAAUACCGCAUAUGAGCUCCUGCUGCAUGUGGUGGGUUGGAAAGUUUCGGCGGUUGUGUAUGGACUCGCGGCUUAUCAGCUUGUUGGUGGGGUAGUGGCUUACCAAGGCUUUGACGGGUAGCCGGCCUGAGAGGGGUACCGGCAACAUUGGGACUGAGAUACGGCACAGACUCCUACGGGAGGCAGCAGUGGGGGAUAUUGCACAAUGGGCGGAAGCCUGAUGCAGAAACGCCGCGUGCGGGAUGACGGCCUUCGGGUUGUAAACCGCUUUCGAAUGUGACGAAGCGUGAGUGACGGUAAUGGGUAAAGAAGCACCGGCUAACUACGUG
rnacentral:rRNA from 1 species